CCAGCGACCACAUGCUCCAGCAGCUUCACACUCCUCACUGACGCACUCUCCUCCUCCAGCGAUACAGUACAGUGGCAAAUGGGGUCAAACCUUCCUGUCAAGUGUGUGCAUGUAUGCUGUGAUGAGGGGAAGGGGAAGCUCUGCCCUCAAGCGCGGCAGUGUUUGUCUACCGUUUGUGACGUCGCUGAGCUCCGAGCAACUCAGCCCAAACUUAACAUUGGCCACACAGAGAAGGCAUCGGUAGAUGGAGGUUUCCACUCUGAAUGAGCUCAACCUCUGGGAGGAGGCUGGUAAAUAAAGAUGCAAAUUAAAGCAGAAAUAUCCAUUUAGCUUCCGUCCUCCAUACACUUCAGCUACAUUCAUUCAUGAGCCAAUGUUAAGGAGCCCAGUGUGAAAUCCACUUCUGACCUCAAAAGUGCAGAAAAUGUUCUAAGUCUGAGCUCCAACUGGAGGAAGUAAAUAAGUCAGCAUGAUGGCUUGGCACAGAAGCUGCUCCCACCUCACACAGCAGUGUUGUCAUCAUACACAAUCGUUUUGUUGUCAAACAUGAACAAUUAAAACGAUUCGGCAUUGUGAAAGACAAUGACGUUUUGUAAUAUUUACUCAAAGCAAAAUAUUCGUGUGUGUGUGUGUGAUGUCAGAACGGGAAGUAGAUUGUUGGAAAUGUGUUGAGUUAUCUCUAUCACACCAUGCUGUGUUAUGCUUGUGAUAUUCUACAACCACAAUAAACUUGAUUUUCUUGUAUUGCGGAAGUGAUGACCGAAGAGUUAUUGCUUCAUAAAUUGUACAUUGUAUGUUGUAUAAAGACCAAUUCUUCAUGAUUCAAAUAAUCAGGAUGUGUUGACUAGCUGCUUAGAAAAACGUGUGUUUGGAUUCAGUCAAAGACUUCAACUAACUUGAAUGAGAGAUGACACAUUUCCUUGUAACACAAUACAUAUCGAACCAACUAAAUGAUUGCUGAUUUUUGUUAUUAUAGGGCAGCAGAUAUACAGUAUUAAAGCUAGAUAGAUUUGUGUUUAUGACACCCACGGCUUGACACCCACAGCUACUAUCAUUAUUAUUAUUACCCAUAUUUCUAUUAUUAUUACUGUUACUAUCACUACUAUUA